rnacentral:lncRNA from 1 species
UUUGGUUUCCUCGGAAUUUCCUCGGAAUAUACCGACGGAAUUUCGAGGAAAUAUCAUUCCGUCGGAAUAUUCUUAUGGAAUUCCGAGGAAAAUUGUAUUCCUCGGAAAAAAACCGAUGAAUUCCGAGGAAAUAUUAUAGACGUUAGAGAGCCGUUGGAGAGCUGUUGGGGGAUUUUAAAAAUUCUGAGGAAAUUCCGACGAACUAGCCGUUGGCAUCGGAAAUCCGUCGGAAUUUCCUCGGUCUGUCGGAAGGAUUUCAACUAUAAAUACAAGCACCCCUCUUCCUCUUCAUUCACUCCAUAUCUUCAUCCUCCCUCUCACUCUCUUUUCACACGAAUUUGAUUCAUAAAAAACAUGUCUUCUUCAAAUUAUUUUCGUUCUUGGAUCGAUCGACCUCAUUUGGAUCCGAACACGAGAUUGCUUACGGAAGAAUACCAACGAGGUAUAACCGAAUUCAUGGGGUUAGUUCACCGACAACCGGAAGCAAAAACAGGUAUGUUAAGAUGUCCUUGCUCUAAUUGUAAAAAUAAAAAGGUUAUUAAAGAGUGGGAUGUUUGGACUCAUCUAUAUUUGAGUGGGUUUACACGAAGUUACAAAAUUUGGUAUCAUCAUGGGGAAACUGAUUAUGAACAUGGUAGUACUAGCGAACCUCAGCCAGCGGUUAGAUUAGAAGAACCAAUUAGAACGGAUGUAGAUUAUGGUGUAGGUACUGAGCAGAUGGUAAAUGAUCAUUUUAGAGGGGAAGAUUUACCCAAUGCAGAAGCUAUGAGAUUUUAUGAUAUGUUGGAUGCUGGAAAGCAACCAUUGUACGAAGGUUGCAGAGAUGGUCAUUCAGCUUUAUCAUCUGCUACAAGAUUGAUGGGCAUUAAAACAAAUUAUAAUUUGGCUGAAGACUGUGUGGAUGCGAUUGCUGAUUUUGUAAAAGGUAUUCUACCCGAGGAUAAUGUAGCUCCUGGUUCAUACUACGAGGUUCAGAAACUCGUAGCUGGUCUUGGUUUAUCGUAUCAGGUAAUAGAUGUAUGCAGCGACAACUGCAUGAUUUAUUGGAGGGCGGAUGAACAGCGGGUUACAUGCAAAUUUUGUGGAAAGCCUCGUUAUAAAGAUACGAGUGGAAGAGUUCCAGUGCCAUAUAAAAGGAUGUGGUAUUUACCUUUGACGGAAAGGUUGCAGAGGUUGUAUCUGUCUGAACGCACAGCGCAACCAAUGAGAUGGCAUGCGGAGCACUCAACAGAUGGUGAGAUCAGACAUCCUUCAGAUGCAAAAGCGUGGAAGCAUUUCCAAUCAAAGUAUCCCGACUUUGCGUAUGAGAGAAGAAAUGUCUACCUUGGAUUAUGUACUGAUGGUUUCAGUCCGUUUGGCAAGAGUGGAAGACAGUAUUCUCUAUGGCCCGUCAUUCUUACACCAUACAACCUCCCCCCAAACUUGUGCUUGCGACGAGAGUUUUUGUUUCUCUCGAUUCUCGUUCCCGGACCAGAGCAUCCUAAGAGAUCACUUGAUGUGUUUCUUCAGCCACUAAUAUAUGAGUUGCAACAACUAUGGGCUCAAGGUGCUGAAACAUACGAUGUUUCGUGUAAAGAAAACUUUCAAAUGCGGGCAGUACUAAUGUGGACAAUAAGUGAUUUUCCAGCAUAUGGUAUGUUAUCUGGAUGGACAACGCAUGGAAGGCUAUCAUGUCCAUAUUGUCAAGAUAACACUGAUGCUUUCCAACUAAAACACGGAAGGAAAACGUGUUGGUUUGACUGUCAUAGGAGAUUUCUACCACUUGAUCAUCCAUAUCGUAGGAGUAGGAAUUUGUUUACGAAGAACAAGAGGGUGUUUGACAGUCCACCUCAGAAAAUUUGUGGGAAAGAUUUGAAGAUAAAACUAAGAGAUGUUGGUGCAGAAAGGACGCCAGAAGUCGGUGGACAUGAGCGUUUUCCGGUAGAUGCUGUUGGAGAACUACAUAACUGGCACAAAAAANNNNNNNNNNNNNNNNNNNNNNNNNNNNNNNNNNNNNNNNNNNNNNNNNNNNNNNNNNNNNNNNNNNNNNNNNNNNNNNNNNNNNNNNNNNNNNNNNNNNNNNNNNNNNNNNNNNNNNNNNNNNNNNNNNNNNNNNNNNNNNNNNNNNNNNNNNNNNNNNNNNNNNNNNNNNNNNNNNNNNNNNNNNNNNNNNNNNNNNNNNNNNNNNNNNNNNNNNNNNNNNNNNNNNNNNNNNNNNNNNNNNNNNNNNNNNNNNNNNNNNNNNNNNNNNNNNNNNNNNNNNNNNNNNNNNNNNNNNNNNNNNNNNNNNNNNNNNNNNNNNNNNNNNNNNNNNNNNNNNNNNNNNNNNNNNNNNNNNNNNNNNNNNNNNNNNNNNNNNNNNNNNNNNNNNNNNNNNNUAAGGUUCAACCGAUCCGGGAACGGGAUCAGCGCAUGGAUCAACCGUAUGAUGUACUCGGCCCUCGACAGUGGACAUCCGACUUUCACUCACUUCCCAACCGACAAGCAGGUUCUGUGGUUUCGUCAGUUUGCGGUAAGUAUUCUAAUUUUUUACUUAUAUUUUUAAUCUUUAAUAUAAAUUUUCUACUAAUUGUGUUUUUUUUUCAGCAAGAGUUCAACUGGAAUUCCGAUGAGACGCUCUUUAUCUAUCACCACUUCGUCCAUAAAGUAAUGGACAACUAUGGGAAGCAGAUCCACGAGUGGAAGAAGAAGUGGGAAAUCAAUAAGGUUCGAUUUAAUUUAUUAAACAAUUUUUUAAUUUAUUAAACUAUUUUUUAAUUUAUUAAACUUUUUCUUUUUUUUUUAAUUAAAAGGUCCCAAAGUCGAUGAACGACACGGUCUGGAAGGAGUUGUGUGCGCAUUGGGAUAAGGAAGAGACGAAAGAAACUUCUUCCACCAACUCCAACAACCGCAGGAGCGACCGUAAAGGGAAGGGCAUCUACAAGCAUAACUUGGGUGCUCAAUCUAUUGCCACUCUGGCGGAUCGCAUGGUAAGUUCAACCGCUUUUUCUUCAAUUAUUUAAGUUUCGGAAUUUUAUUUUUUAUGAAUUUUUUCAAAUUUCUAAUGUUUGUUUAAUUUAUUUUUUUUCAAGGCGGAAGAAAAUGAGGGCGACCCGGUUGAUGAUUUCGCCCUAAUGAAAAGGGCGUAUACCAACAAGAAGACCGGCCAGAUUGAUGAUGGUCUUGUGAGGGACGUGGUCGACCUGGUCCAAACUCAGGUGUAUGACGAAGUGUCUCAGCUUCAAACCGAUGAUGACGAUUCGACGGCUUCGACCAACUUGUCCCGGGUUCGAAUCAACGAAAUCGUUGAAUCGGUAAGUUUUUUUUUAAAAGUUCAAUUUAAUUAUUUUUUGAUUUUUAUUUUAUCAUCAAUUUAUAUUAUCUAAAUUUGGUUAUUUAUAUUUCAGUCGGUUCCAAAGAAAAAGGGACGUUUGGUCGGUUUGGGUCGUCGCUCCCGGUCGGCUGCUCCUUCUUCUGCACCACCGCCAUAUGUUGAUCCGGAAGUUCUUACGGCUCAGCUGAAGGACAAGGAUGAUCGGAUAUCUGCGUUGGAGACCCAGAUGGCAGCUCAACAGGCGGGCUAUGAGACCCAGAAGAGGCUCAACGAGCAGAUGAUGGAGAUGAUGAAGAGGAUGUACCCGAACGAGGUGUUCCCGAACAUCCAAGACCCGUAGUUUUUUUUUUUUUUUACCAAAAACUCUGAAUGUUUUAUUUAACUUUGAAUAUUAUCUACUAUGUUUUAUUUAAUGUUUUAUUCAAUUUUAAUUUUAAUUUUAAAUUUUUAAAUUUAAAUUUUAAAAAUUUUAAUUUUUUUUAAAAAAAUAAAUUUUUUAAAAAAAUAAAUUUUUUAAAAAAAUGAAUUUUUUCAAAAUUCCGAGGGAAAGCAGUUCCUCGGAAAUUUCUGAGGAACUUAUUUCCCUCGGAAUUUUCCGAGGGACUGAAACUCCUCGGAAUUUUCCGAGGGAAGAAAGUUCCUCGGAAUUUUCUGAGGGACAGAAGUUCCUCGGAAUUUCCCGAUAAACAUUCCGAGGAAUAUUUCGUCGAAACUUCCGAGGAUUGAACCAUCGGAAUUCCAUCGAAAUAUUCCGAGGAAGGCGUCCCUCGGUAUAUUCCGAGGAACCUUCCGACGAACUUUGUGUCCUCGGAGUUUCCUCGGAAUUCCGUCGGAAAUUUCCGACGGAAUUCCGAGGAAAUAUGAAUUUCCGAGGAGAUAUUUCCGAGGACUUUUUUCGUCGGUAUGUCCUCGGAAUAGCGUUAUUCCGACGACAUACCGACGAUUUUUUCCCUCAGUAUGCCGAUGUUUUCUUGUAGUGUUGAGUACUGUGACUACUUUAUUAUUUUCCAAUUUUUUUAUAAAAACUGAUGAGUUGAUAGCAGUAUCAUGUUUUAACAUUGUUACGACCUAUGAGUUAUUACAAUUUUGCUUUCUAUUGUGUUCACCAAUCAUAAUGAUAGUCGAUUAUUCAUAGAAUAUCAGCAAAUUUUAAGGAUGUUUUAUUGCUAGUUGGUCACUGAAUCACGUUUUCUUUUGUACUUUUGUUUGUCGAGCCUAAGAGAAGAAGCCACCAUCAAGAAUAAACAAAAACAAACCCUGUGGAAUUAAGAAAAGUCAACCAUCGGGAGCAGGAAACAGAGCUAGGAAGAAGAAACAAGAAGCAUACAUGUACUCAAUAAACGGUUACUCAAUAAACGGUUCUAUGUUUUUUUUUUUGAUAAGUAAAAGGUUCUAUGUUCAAGUAUGUGAAAAAAGUUAGUACUGAAUUUGGGAGUUCACGCUGCUCAAGGAGAAGAAGAAAAAGACGAUUACAAAGAAAACGGAGAUAAAGAUGUCGAUGAUAAUGGUCAUAAUAGUGAACUUGAGAAUUCAGAUGAUGUAAAGAGGAUCAUCAAGAUGAAACUGAAAAUCAAGAUGAUUAUGAGAAUCAAGAUGAAGAGAAGGAACAACAAAAGAAAGAUAUGUCUGAUCCAGGAAACUGGAACAUGUUGAUAUAUGAUAAGACUAUCAAGUCAGUAUCAGUUCCCGAAAGACAAUAUUGGUAGGCCUUUUUCGCAUGCAUUCUACACGAGAGAUAUGGUUAAUGGAGAAAAAAAAGAUAAGCAGUGGUUGAUAUAUUCAAAAGCUUUGGAUAAAGCUUUUUUUUCUGCUGCAAGUUGUUCAGACAUGAAAGCAGUGGUGGAAACUUGGUAACCGCAUGAUUUAAUAAUUGGAGAAACUUUGCAAAAAGUCUGAAAGAACACGGAAUUUCUCAUGAUCUUGUAUAUGCAUGACACACUGGAAGGAGUUGGAGUUGAGAUUACAAAAAAAAAAUCAAACAAUUGAUAAGCAUGUUCAGAAGAAUUAAAUAGGGAGAAAAGCCAUUGGAGAGAAGUAUUGUUAAGAAUAUUUGCAAUGGUGAAAACUCUAGCUCAAAGGAAUCUGGCAUUUCGUGGAGAAUAUGAAAAACUUGGUGAAGCAAACAAUGAAAUUUUUUUGGGUCUUAUUUAGAUGAUUGCGGAGUUUGAUGCAUUGAUGAGAGAGCAUGUUAGGUGAAUUGAGAAAAAAAGGAAUAUAUGUGCAUUAUCUUGGUCACAAGAUUCAGAAUGAGAUGAUUGAAAUGCUUGCUAAGGAGAUCAAAGUUAUGAUCAUAAAGAAGAUCCAUGAUUCAAAGUAUUUCUCCAUAAUUCUUGAUUGUACUCCAGAUAUUAGUCACAAAGAGCAAAUGACUUUGGUUAUCAGAUGUGUGGAUGUUUCUAGUUUCUACGAUGUCAACGAAGGUUGAGAAAUUCUUUUUGAGAUUUUUGAUUGUCAAAGAUAAAUCAGGAGAAGGGUUUUUUACUUUCCUCCAAGAUGCAUUGGUUGAGCUAGAGUUAGACACUGGUGAUGUGAGAAGGUAAGGAUAUGACAAUGGAUCUAAUAUAAGGGAAAGAAUAAAGGAUUUCAGAAAAGGUUGUUGGAUAUUAAUCCAAGGGCAUUCUUCACCCCAUGUAGUUGUUAUAGUCUCAAUCUUGUGUUAUGUGAUAUAGCAUCUUCUUCCCCAAAAGCUGUGUCCUUUUUUGGAAUCGUUCAACGAAUAUAUAUAUAUAUAUAUAUAUAUAUUUCUUAUUUGCUUCCUCGACAAACAGAUGGGACAUACUGACAAAUAUGGUUAAAGGAUUAACCCUUAAAUCUUUGUCUCAGACACGUUGGGAAAUUCAUGUUGAAAGUGUCAAGCAAUACGGUUUCAGGCCUUAGAAAUCAUAGAAGUGUUACUUUGUUUGGCUGAAAGUACUUACAAUCCAGCAACACGAAGCAGCACUGAAUCUCUUGCUUUAAGUGAAACACAUGGGAUUGGAGGUUUUGAGUUUUUGUUUGGUAUGGUUGUUUGAUAUGACCUUAUUUUUGUUCUCAACACUGUAAGCAAGAGCUUGCAAUCAGAAAAUAUUGAUAUUAAUGCUGCAAUUCAGCAACUGAAAGGUCUUGUGUCAUAUUUUCAAAAAUAUCGGGAGACUGGGUUUGAGGAAGCAAAAGCUAAGGCUAGAAAAAUUGCAGCAGAUAUGGAAGCUGAAUUUCCUAUGAAACAAAAGCGUAUUAUUAAGAGAAAAAGCACUAUGAUGAAGACAUAGAGAUAGUUGAUGACAAUGUGCUACUAUCACUAGAAGAGGGUUCCAGGAUUGAGUACUACAACACACUCAUGGACCAAGCUCUAGUUUCUCUUCAGUCAAGAUUUGAACAAUUCCAAAGGUAUGAACAAACUUUUGGAUUUUUGUUUGAUUUUAAAAAAACUAACAGCCGCAAGUGAGGAGACUUUGAGUGCAUAUCAUGUUUGAAUCUAGAAGCUUUUUUGAAGAAUGGUAUGCAUUCAGACAUUGUUGGUGAAGAUUUGUUUAUGGAACUGAAGAUUCUCCGAGAAACAAUACCAUUGGAAGUUCGAAAGCCUAUAGAGGUUCUUGAUUUUUUGAAGAAAAUGGAGGAUUGCUAUCAGAACAUAUAAGUUGCUUAUCGUAUAUUAUUGACUAUUCUGGUAUCGGUUACAACAGCUGAAAGAAGUUUAUCGAAGUUGAAACUGAUAAAAAAUUAUUUGCAGUCUGCAUGUCACAAGAGAGAUUAAAUGGAUUAGCUAUGUUAUCAAUUGAGACGGAUAUGAUUGAAAGACUUGACUACACGAGUUUAAUGGAUGAUUUUGCAGGAAAGAAUACAAGAAGAUCAAUAUUUCAGCAAUAAGUAUUUUUAAUUCUGUUACUUUCGUUUUUCUUUAUAAACAUUUUGCGAAUUUCGAUUGUUUUAUGGAAGUUUGAUUUUUAGUUACUCUUGCUAUAUGAUUUUGAAUUACAUAUGUAAGCGCAUAGUUUUUUGAACUGGCUUAGGGUGUUAUAGAGUUUGGACCGGCACUGCCAGCACAUCUAAAUAAUUUAAGAGCCCUAACUGUAAUGCAUUAUUUUUACAGUAUUUAGCCAUGUUCGGAAUCGCGCUAGGCGUGAGUCGGGCGGUUGGUCUAGGCCUAGCGAGUUAUAAGAAAAUCGGAGAUUAAUCAGGGAUUACUUUUGAGUAUUUUUUCGAUUUUUUUGAUAGUUUGUGUAUAAUAAAGAAUGAUUUACAAAGAAAGUAAGGAAAGUUGACGUGGUGUAGUGGUUUUGUUGCUUCUUUAACAUUCAGGAGAUCCGGAGUUUGAUAUCCCUGGUGCGUUUUAUUUUUAUUUUUGUUUUUAACUCAUUAAUGGCAUAAUCGUAAACAUCUCUUCAUCUUCUUUGUUGUAUCUUCCCUAAAUUGCAGCCGUUUUCUCAUCUUCUCCAACACAAAUCAACUUUUUUAAACGAUUUCCUAUGAUUUAACGACACUUCUUUGUUCCUAGCACUGUAUUAUGAUGGAUUCGUGAAGAAAUUAUCAUUUUUGAACUUGAAAAUGGCAUAAUAUGAGGUGUAUUUUUUUAGGCGAGUUUUUGGCCGAACAGAGCUGAAUCGCGGCGGAGCUCCGAUGCCGAGCGCUGCACCGGCGUGUAAUCGGCCACUCCGGCCAUGUUUUAGAACCUGUGUAUUUAGAGUUAACUUAGAGCUGGGUUAAAAAAAUUAAGGGUUUUGAUAGGGUUUGGACCCUACUAGAUUAAAAAAAUUGAUUGUUCGGCAAACAACAGUGAUUGGUACAAUAUUAAAACUUCAAAAAUGAAUUUUCUUUACAAAACGGUGAAUCGUAAAAAUAAAAUUUCGUCGAAAUAAAAAAAAAAGUUUUUCUGCCAAAUCGAAUUUUUCUACCAAAAGGAGUUUUUUCCACCGAAUCUGAAAAGUGAGUUUUUCUGUUAAAACCAAAAACCAAGUUUUCUCGCCAAAAUCAUAAAAUUGAUUUUUUCCACUAAAACCAUAUAAUCAAGUUUUUUUCCCCAAAACUGUAAAAUUGAUUCUCCCCGCCAAAUCCGUAAAAUUGGAUUUUUUUGCCAAAACGAGUUUUCUCGUCAAAAUUGUAAAAAUAAGUUUUCCGCCAAAAUGAGUUUCCCCGCCAAAAAUGUAAAAAUAAGAUUAUUCGCCAUAGCCGCAAAAAUUAUAUUAUCUUAUAUAUUAAGAUAAAUCAAAGAAAAUUGGUUUUUGAUUAAAAUAUUUCUUGUUUUCAAUCUAAAUUUUUGUGAUAAAGGCAAAACAACUUAUUUUGUGAUUUUGGUAAAAAUAAUCAAUUUUAAUGGGAAAACUCUAUAUUGUGGUUUUCGCAAGAAAACUCAUUUUUUUUUGUUUUGGCGGAAAAUAUCGUUUUUACAGUUUUGGUAGAAAAACUCAAUUUGCGGAUUUGACGGAAAAAAUCAUUUGUGAAAUUUUGGCUGAAAAACUCAAUUUUAGAGUUUUGACAUAAAUUUUUUUUAUGGUUUUGCGGAAAAUUCAAUUUUUUUUUGGCGAGAAGUCUGGUUUUCCGGUUUUGGUGGGAAAUCUCGUUUUGACGUGAAAUCUCGUUUUUGCGGUUUUGCGGGGAAAACUUGUUUUGAUGAUUAAAUGUAUUCGCAUUUCAAAAAAUAAAUGGUUUAAAAUGGUUGAAAAGGAUUCUUAUAUAUUAACAUAAAUAAAAAAAAUUGGUUUUCAACCAUUUAAACCCUUUAUUUUUUGAAAUGUGAAUACAUUUAAUAUAAUCUCUUAUAAAAUAAUCCAACUUAAGUUAAAUUUAAUAUAAAAUCCUUUUCAACCGUUUCAACCAUUUUGAAAUGUGAAUACAUUUAAUAUAAUCUAUUAUAAAAUAAUCCAACUUAACCAUGCAUGAAAAAAAAAUCCAAGUAACCAUGCAUGAAACGAAAAAAAUCCAAUAAUCCAACUUAAUAAUGCUCUCCACGUGGUGUAACAAUUUAGGGCCGAGCAUAAAUUACAUAAGGUUGGGCUGGGCUAAGAACACCCGUAAUGGGAGUCGUUAAGGAAGAAUCUUUAGAAAAAAAAUAAUUAAAUAAUCCAUAGAUCUUACCAAAAGUUAUAGAUUUAAUCCUUAAAAUUUCUAAAUAAUGAUUCUUUCUUAGUAAAUCCUUACACUAUUUGCGGGUCUCCACAACACGUGGCGACACGUGAUUAGUUGAUAUAUUUUUUCUUAUCCAAAAAGAAAAGAAAAUAAUACUUAAAAAAUUAAAAUAUACCUUUUUUUAAAAAAAUUCUUUGGAUAGGUGCUCUAACAUCCCUACAUGUGUCUGUCAGAGGACAUCACGUCCAUGUGUACCUCAUGCGAAUUGGAUCUAGACUGUGCAUGACACGUGAACUGAAAACAAUAGAAACAAUACCCAGCCUUUUCAAGUUACGGAAAAUCAAAGACGGUCAUCAUUUUCUAGCUCUCUUCUGUGCCAUUUUGCAUACGUGCUGGAUAAGCGUCCAUCUUAUUCCAAAUUUCGUAUUAGCUGUCAAGGACAUGUGAACUGGUUGUGGUCCAACAAUUAACAAGUAUGAUCCUUGAUUCCUUGUCAUUUUUCUGUUGCUUUGUUUGGUGACACAAAUCCAUAGUUACUUGGAUUUUUUCAUCUCAUGCAUGGCUGCUUGGAUUUUUUCGUUUCAUGCACGGUUACUUGGAUUAUUAUUAAGUUGUUACACCACGUGGAGAGCAUUUUCUUUUUUGAAAAUAAUGAUAUGUAUUUGCCGCGGUUCGAGUUAUCCCAUACAUAUAACAAACUGGGCAUUUCACUAACGUUUAUAUAUAUAGGGAGUAGCACUGCCCCAUGUCAAAUACUAUCAUUCUCACUCACAGCUGCCUUCCAACAUUAUAAGGUCUCUUUCUAUCUCUCUCUCGUACACACAUUAAUUUUAGCUUUCUUGAUUUUUCUGUAUAUCCCGAUUAAAACGAGGUCGGGUUUGGAUAUAAGAGCAUGAUUAACCCGGUUUUUAGGGUGGAGUUCUUAACUCAUGAUUUGAUAUUUUUUGUACUUUUUUUUAAUACUUUUCAGCUAAGAGCUGGCUUUUAUAUCUCUUAUUUAAGAGACGAUUCUUAGUUUUUCUUAGUUAAAAGCUAAGAAUCCCAUCCUAAGAACCUGGGUUAAUCAUGGUCUAAGACUAUCCACGAAAAUACAGAAAUCUUUGAAAAUACACAUUUAAAAGAUAAAGAAAGAAGAACCCUAUCCUAAGAACCUGGAUUAAUCAUGGUCUAAGACUAUGCACGAAAAUACAGAGAUCUUUGAAAAUACACAUUUAAAAGACAAAGAAAGGAGUACUAAAUUGAAAUUCUUUUUUUUUAAAGACUAGCAACAAACAAAAAAGAGUAUUUAAAAAGGAAUUCCAAGAAUUUAUGAACAAAUCAUUUUGUGGCUAUGUUGGUGUCAAACUAUUGUCCCAAAAAAAAUAUUAUAUUUUUUAAUUUUUUUAACAAAUAUUUGUGGUCUAUAUUUUUUGUUCCUUUAUUUCAUCUUUUUCUCCUCGGUAUAUUAUAAUUUUUUUUUCUUUUUCUGAUGCCUAUCAAUUUUUAGAAAUCGUACGUCUUCAUCCAUAUAUAUAUAUUGUAGUUUUUCAUCAGUUUCUUAAAGAAACAAACAUAUGGUUUUGGUUUCACACGAUAAUGAAUUGUCAUCGAACGGAUGAAAAGUUGAAUUUUAACCAUCGAAAGUAAAUAUAAUAUGUGUACUAUUUAUUGAUCUGAGUUAGUUUGAUCCUGAGAAGUUAAGACUACGUAGUUGCAUUGGCGGAGCUACGUUAGUGGAGAGGGGGGCAGCUGCCCCCAGCAAGUUUAAAUAUUUAUGAAUUUUGUUAAAUAAUUAGCCAAAUAUUCAUUGGAUCAGUUGGUGCUGCCCCCAUAAAAAUUUCAUCUCUGCCCCCAACACUUCUUGGUUCGAGUGUCGCCUCUCACCAUUUCAGUUUUGUUUUCAUUAAAAAAUCAUUUUUAUUAGUUAUAACAAACUACUUAUUUCCAAUUUCCUUCCUAUAUUAGUGCUUCACGUAUCUAUAACAGAGAAUUUAAGACAUUUUUUGUUUCCAUAUUUUUUAUUUACAGAGAUUGUUCAAUAAUAUUUUAUAUACUUUUCAGUUGGUUAAUUAUUUUUAGAGUAUAAUUAGUUUUUUAAUAAUUUCUCUAUUUGUGUGUUUACCUUAUUUUGGUUGGUCUUAACAAAAAAAUAUACUUUAUAUAGAAAAUAGUAAAGUUAUAUGUUAAAUCAUAUAAAUAAUAAACAUAUUUCAUGUUAAAGAUGCUAACAAUAUAAAAUUUGUAAUAACAAUUUAAUAUUUAUAUAUAUAUAUAAUUAUUUAAAUAUUAUUAUAAUAAAUAUUUUAAUUAAAUUAUUUUCCCAGUAAAAAAAAAAUUCUAGUUCCGCCACUGUUUAGUUGUGUUUUUUUUACUAUAUCUUCCAGUGUAUAAACUUCUUUUUGGAUAUAUAUAAUCUUUAAUACAAUUCUCGUCAACAGAUAUCUGACGGAUCUUUAAGGCCAAAAUGUUUUGGGAUGACGGAACGCACGCGAAGGUGAACAGAGUCCAGCUUACGUUUGAUGACGUCAUCAGAUCUAUCGAGGUUGAAUACGAGGGCACCAACGUUCAGCCCCAGCGUCGUGGCACCGUUGGCACCAACUCUGACGAAGUUAGUAAACAGUGUUAAUAUUUUUGUAUUAUGAUUAUUCUGAACUCUGAGAAGUAUAAAAGAUUAUUAAACAUUAUUUUUUAUAUCUAUGAAAGAUUAUUAGAGCAUGUUUAUUGCAGUAGUUAAGUUUAACUAGGUUGCUUAGGAUAUUUUAUAAUUAAAAGAAAAGAAAAAAGGAAAUGAAGAGAAGGGGUGUUACUUAAUUAAGCACUAGAAGAGUCGUUGCUUCUGUUGCUUUUCUUUUUUUGUUUUUAUCUUUCUCUCUUUCUGUUUCUGUUCUUUCUAGCCCACUUAUUUUUUUUUGGCUGUAACCCACUUAAGAGAUUCUUAAAAGAUUUUAGCAAUAAACAUGCUUUAAACACUAUUUUUCUGUUAAUUACAGUUUUGUUUUUUGGCAGUUUACACUGAGCUCAGACGAGUUCAUAACGCGUGUGUCUGGUUACUACCGAACGACUUUCUCCGGAGACGUUAUAACGGCGUUAUUGUUUAGGACGAACAAGAAGACCUAUGGGCCUUAUGGAAACCUAACACGAAACUUCUUUUCUGCUGACGCACCGAGAAACAACCAAAUCGCUGGAUUUCUAGGAAAUAGUGGAAGUGCACUCAACUCCAUCAACGUUCAUUUUGCUCCCAUUCCUCCCCCUGGUAGCAUUAAACCAAAACCUGCUGGCCCCGGAACAGGCGACGCUGGAAGCGGUCAACCUGUUAGCCCAGGACCCGGCGAUGCGGGAGGUGGUCCAAAACCUGGUGGUCCUGGAACCGGUGAAAACGGAGCCGGCACUAAACCUAGUGGUCCCGGAACCGGUGAAAACGGAGCCGGCACUAAACCUGGUGACCUUGGAACCGGGGCAGAUGGAGAAGGUACUAAACCUGGUGGCUCUGGAACCGGCGAAGACGGAGCCGGUACUAAACCUGGUGGUCCUGGAACCGGUGAAAACGGAGCCGGCACUAAACCUAGUGGUCCCGGAACCGGUGAAAACGGAGCCGGCACUAAACCUGGUGACCUUGGAACCGGGGCAGAUGGAGAAGGUACUAAACCUGGUGGCUCUGGAACCGACGAAGACGGAGCCGGUACUAAACCUGGUGGCCUUGAGACAGGAGAAGACGGAGCUGGUACUAAACCUGUUGGCUCUGGAACUGGCAACGAUGGAGGCGGUCCUAGACCUGUUAUCCCUGGAAAGAUGGGACCCCUUGGUGGUGACAAGGGAAAUGAAUUCGACGAUGUUGGUUUUGAUGGUGUGAAGAAAAUAACUGUGGGAGCAGAUGAAUUCAGUAUAACUUAUAUCAAGAUCGAAUA